CGGGGCGGGGUGCUAUACAUGCAGUCGAGCGGACAGAAGGGAGCUUGCUCCCGGAUGUUAGCGGCGGACGGGUGAGUAACACGUGGGUAACCUGCCUGUAAGACUGGGAUAACUCCGGGAAACCGGAGCUAAUACCGGAUAGUUCCUUGAACCGCAUGGUUCAAGGAUGAAAGACGGUUUCGGCUGUCACUUACAGAUGGACCCGCGGCGCAUUAGCUAGUUGGUGGGGUAAUGGCUCACCAAGGCGACGAUGCGUAGCCGACCUGAGAGGGUGAUCGGCCACACUGGGACUGAGACACGGCCCAGACUCCUACGGGAGGCAGCAGUAGGGAAUCUUCCGCAAUGGACGAAAGUCUGACGGAGCAACGCCGCGUGAGUGAUGAAGGUUUUCGGAUCGUAAAGCUCUGUUGUUAGGGAAGAACAAGUGCGAGAGUAACUGCUCGCACCUUGACGGUACCUAACCAGAAAGCCACGGCUAACUACGUGCCAGCAGCCGCGGUAAUACGUAGGUGGCAAGCGUUGUCCGGAAUUAUUGGGCGUAAAGGGCUCGCAGGCGGUUUCUUAAGUCUGAUGUGAAAGCCCCCGGCUCAACCGGGGAGGGUCAUUGGAAACUGGGAAACUUGAGUGCAGAAGAGGAGAGUGGAAUUCCACGUGUAGCGGUGAAAUGCGUAGAGAUGUGGAGGAACACCAGUGGCGAAGGCGACUCUCUGGUCUGUAACUGACGCUGAGGAGCGAAAGCGUGGGGAGCGAACAGGAUUAGAUACCCUGGUAGUCCACGCCGUAAACGAUGAGUGCUAAGUGUUAGGGGGUUUCCGCCCCUUAGUGCUGCAGCUAACGCAUUAAGCACUCCGCCUGGGGAGUACGGUCGCAAGACUGAAACUCAAAGGAAUUGACGGGGGCCCGCACAAGCGGUGGAGCAUGUGGUUAAUUCGAAGCAACGCGAAGAACCUUACCAGGUCUUGACAUCCUCUGACAACCCUAGAGAUAGGGCUUUCCCUUCGGGGACAGAGUGACAGGUGGUGCAUGGUUGUCGUCAGCUCGUGUCGUGAGAUGUUGGGUUAAGUCCCGCAACGAGCGCAACCCUUGAUCUUAGUUGCCAGCAUUCAGUUGGGCACUCUAAGGUGACUGCCGGUGACAAACCGGAGGAAGGUGGGGAUGACGUCAAAUCAUCAUGCCCCUUAUGACCUGGGCUACACACGUGCUACAAUGGACAGAACAAAGGGCUGCAAGACCGCAAGGUUUAGCCAAUCCCAUAAAUCUGUUCUCAGUUCGGAUCGCAGUCUGCAACUCGACUGCGUGAAGCUGGAAUCGCUAGUAAUCGCGGAUCAGCAUGCCGCGGUGAAUACGUUCCCGGGCCUUGUACACACCGCCCGUCACACCACGAGAGUUUGCAACACCCGAAGUCGGUGAGGUAACCUUUAUGGAGCCAGCCGCCGAAGUGACAAAG
rnacentral:rRNA from 1 species